rnacentral:rRNA from 1 species
AACACAUGCAAGUCGAGGGGCAGCAUGACCUAGCAAUAGGUUGAUGGCGACCGGCGCACGGGUGAGUAACACGUAUCCAACCUACCGGUUAUUCCGGGAUAGCCUUUCGAAAGAAAGAUUAAUACCGGAUAGUAUAACGAGAAGGCAUCUUCUUGUUAUUAAAGAAUUUCGAUAACCGAUGGGGAUGCGUUCCAUUAGUUUGUUGGCGGGGUAACGGCCCACCAAGACAUCGAUGGAUAGGGGUUCUGAGAGGAAGGUCCCCCACAUUGGAACUGAGACACGGUCCAAACUCCUACGGGAGGCAGCAGUGAGGAAUAUUGGUCAAUGGACGAGAGUCUGAACCAGCCAAGUAGCGUGAAGGAUGACUGCCCUAUGGGUUGUAAACUUCUUUUGUAUGGGAAUAAAGUGCAGUAUGUAUACUGUUUUGUAUGUACCAUACGAAUAAGGAUCGGCUAACUCCGUGCCAGCAGCCGCGGUAAUACGGAGGAUCCGAGCGUUAUCCGGAUUUAUUGGGUUUAAAGGGAGCGUAGGCGGAAGCUUAAGUCAGUUGUGAAAGUUUGCGGCUCAACCGUAAAAUUGCAGUUGAUACUGGGUUUCUUGAGUGCAGUAGAGGUAGGCGGAAUUCGUGGUGUAGCGGUGAAAUGCUUAGAUAUCACGAAGAACUCCGAUUGCGAAGGCAGCUUACUGGACUGUAA